rnacentral:rRNA from 1 species
UACGUAGGUGGCAAGCGUUAUCCGGAUUUACUGGGUGUAAAGGGCGUGUAGGCGGGAAAGCAAGUCAGAUGUGAAAACCACGGGCUCAACCUGUGGCCUGCAUUUGAAACUGUUUUUCUUGAGUACUGGAGAGGCAGACGGAAUUCCUCGUGUAGCGGUGAAACGCGUAGAUAUGAGGAGGAACACCAGUGGCGAAGGCGGUCUGCUGGACAGCAACUGACGCUGAGGCGCGAAAGCGUGGGGAGCAAACAGG